UACGUAGGGUGCAAGCGUUGUCCGGAAUUAUUGGGCGUAAAGAGCUCGUAGGCGGUUUGUCGCGUCUGCUGUGAAAACUCGGGGCUCAACCCCGGGCCUGCAGUGGGUACGGGCAGACUAGAGUGCGGUAGGGGAGACUGGAAUUCCUGGUGUAGCGGUGAAAUGCGUAGAUAUCAGGAGGAACACCGGUGGCGAAGGCGGGUCUCUGGACAGUUACUGACGCUGAGGCACGAAGGCCAGGGGAGCAAACGGG
rnacentral:rRNA from 1 species